rnacentral:rRNA from 1 species
UCCUGCCAGUAGUCAUAUGCUCGUCUCAAAGAUUAAGCCAUGCAUGUCUAAGAAUAAAUAAAUAAAUAGUAAGUCUGCGGACGGCUCAUUAAAUCAGUUAAAAUCUACAAAGCAAUUUUAUUAUGGAUAACUGUAGUAAUUCUAGAGCUAAUACAAUCAAAAAAACGGUUCGUUGAAUCGUCAUAAAAGAGGAAAUUCCUUCAAUUAAAGUGAACUACUCUUUACUGUGGAAUCGCCAAUGUUGGUGAUAUGUUUUAUGAUUUUCUGCCCUAUCAACUUUUGACGGUAGUGUCGUGGACUACCGUGGUUUCGACGGGUAACGGGGGAUAAGGGUUCGAUUCCGGAGAGGGGGCCUGAGAAAUGGCCACCACUUCUAAGGAAGGCAGCAGGCGCGCAAAUUACCCAAUCUCAAUUCGAGGAGGUAGUGACAAGAAAUAGUAAUGCCUUGAUUCAUAAGAAUCUGGCAAUUGCAAUGAACUAAUUAUUAAUUCAUUAAUGAGGAACAAUUGGAGGGCAAGUCUGGUGCCAGCAGCCGCGGUAAUUCCAGCUCCAAUAGCGUAUAUUAAAUUUGCUGCAGUUAAAAAGCUCGUAGUCCAUGUCGGAAGACAGGUCCUGUUUUUAAUUAUUCAAUAAUUAAGAGCGGUUUGACCGUCUUCAUUUUACAGAUAUCGGGCGGAGGCUAUUAAGUUAGCGCUGUCUGUUAGUCAAGUAACUACUUUGAGGAAAUUAGAGUGUUUCAAGCAUGCAAUUUUGCAUGAAUAUAUUAGCAUAGGAUAGUGACUAUAUUAUAUUUCAUCCGAAGGAGGUGAAUAUAUUAUUUUAAUAGGGAUAGUCGGGGAUGUUUAUAUUUAAUAGUCAGAGGUGAAAUUCUUAGAUUUGUUAAGGAUAAUCAAAUGCGAAGGCAUUCAUCAAGUAUGUUUUCAUUGAUCAAGAACGAUAGUUAAGGGAUCGAAGACGAUCAGAUACCGUCGUAGUCUUAACCGUAAACUAUGCCGACCAGGAAUUAGGAGAUGUUAAUAUGGAUGACUCCCCUAGCGCCUUAAGAGAAAUCUAAAGUCUUUGGGUUCUGGGGGGAGUAUGGUCGCAAGGCUGAAACUAAAGGAAUUGACGGAAGGGCACACCAGAAGUGGAGCCUGCGGCUUAAUUUGACUCAACACGGGAAAUCUCACCAGGUCCGGACAUUAGCAUGAUUGACAGAUUAAAGAUCUUUCAAGAUUUGAUGGGUGGUGGUGCAUGGCCGUUCUUAGUUGGUGGAUUGAUUUGUCUGCUUUAUUGCGAUAACGAACGAGACCUCACUCUACUAACUAGUCAUCCGUGCAUAUGUGUGGUUGAAGUAUUAAAUAGAGAACGCCGAUUUAUCGGAAGUUGCUUUUAAUAUGGAAGCUUGUAUGAUGCGGCUGUACUUCUUAGAGAAACCAAUAUUCACAAAAAUAGAGGAAGCGAGGCAAUAACAGGUCUGUGAUGCCCUUAGAUGUUCUGGGCCGCACGCGCGCUACAAUAUAUUGUGUAAAGUGUCGCUACCGCAAGGGGCCGCUUUACAGGAAUGUGAGGCUAACCUCCAUUCCGUCUUUUUAACUGGAAUAGAUGAUUGAAAUUAUUUGUCUUGAACGAGGAAUUUCUAGUAGUCGUAGUUCACUAAACUACGUCGAUUACGUCCCUGCCCUUUGUACACACCGCCCGUCGCUUCUACCGAUUGAAUGCUCCGGUGAAAUCGUCAGAUUUGUUUUGGUCAGUGGGGCAACCCAGCGGCUUUGAUAGAAAAGGCGAGUAAACCAUAGUAUUUAGAGGAAGAAGAAGUCGUAACAAGGUCUCCGUAGGUGAACCUGCA